AUUGAACGCUGGCGGCAGGCCUAACACAUGCAAGUCGAACGGUAACAGGAAGAAGCUUGCUUCUUUGCUGACGAGUGGCGGAUGGGUGAGCAAUGUCUGGGAAACUGCCUGAUGGAGGGGGAUAACUACUGGAAACGGUAGCUAAAACCGCAUAACGUCGCAAGAGCAAAGAGGGGGACCUUCGGGCCUCUUGCCAUCGGAUGUGCCCAGAUGGGAUUAGCUAGUAGGUGGGGUAACGGCUCACCUAGGCGACGAUCCCUAGCUGGUCUGAGAGGAUGACCAGCCACACUGGAACUGAGACACGGUCCAGACUCCUACGGGAGGCAGCAGUGGGGAAUAUUGCACAAUGGGCGCAAGCCUGAUGCAGCCAUGCCGCGUGUAUGAAGAAGGCCUUCGGGUUGUAAAGUACUUUCAGCGGGGAGGAAGGGAGUAAAGUUAAUACCUUGGCUCAUUGACGUUACCCGCAGAAGAAGCACCGGCUAACUCCGUG
rnacentral:rRNA from 1 species